rnacentral:tRNA from 1 species
AAUUUUCAGUGUUUAGUAUAAAACCCGAUUUUAAAAAAAAACUUAUUCAAAUUAAUGGAACUA